CGUCGUAUGUUAUAUGUGUCAUACGAGACUGCCGGUAAAAGCCGGAGGAAGGUGAGGAUGAUGUCAAGUCAGCAUGACCUUUAUAUCCAGGGCUACACACACGCUACAAUGGUCUGUACAAUGGGUAGCCAAGCCGCGAGGCGGAGCCAAUCCUGAAAGCAGGCCUCAGUUCAGAUUGCAGUCUGCAACUCGACUGCAUGAAGCCGGAGUUGCUAGUAACCGCAGGUCAGCAAUACUGCGGUGAAUACGUUCCCGGGGCUU
rnacentral:rRNA from 1 species